rnacentral:rRNA from 1 species
UACGUAGGGUGCGAGCGUUAAUCGGAAUUACUGGGCGUAAAGCGUGCGCAGGCGGUCGGGUUCGUCGCUGGUGAAAGCCCCACGCUCAACGUGGGAAGGUCCGGCGAGACAGCCCGACUGGAGGCAGGGAGAGGUCGGUGGAAUUCCGGGUGUAGUGGUGAAAUGCGUAGAGAUCCGGAGGAACACCAGAGGCGAAGGCGGCCGACUGGACCUGACCUGACGCUGAGGCGCGAAGGCGUGGGGAGCGAACGGG